GGGAGAUGGCAUGCGUGGAGGUAUCGAGCCAGACAUGUCGUUAGAGAGGUUAUAGAAGAGAACCCGAUGAGGGGAAAGAGGGGAGAUGGCAUGCUGGAGGUGUAUGAGAGACAGGAAAAGGGAGGAGGAGAGAGAAGAGUAAGCUUUUUAAAGCAGAGUCUAAUGUUUAAAAUGUUUUUAUUGUUGCUAAAAAUAAAUGGAUAAAAAAGAUAAAACUGUUCACCCCCCCCCCGCCCCCCCCCCCCCCCCCCCCCCCCCCCCCCCGCCCCCCCCCCGUCCCCCCCCCCCCCCCCCCCCCCCCCCUUCCCCCCCCACCACCCCCCCCCCCCCCCCCCCCCCUUACCUUAUUACAGUAUGUUGUUGCAGUGAUAUCUCCCUAUACAUAUGUUUUCCCAUGCUAUCAUUCCCUAUACUAGUAUUUUUUGUCCCAGUCAUUCAUACUAUACAGUAUGUUGUCCCAGUGAUAUCAUUCCUAUACAGUAUGUUGUCCCCAGUGAUAUCAUACCUAUACAGUAUGUUGUCCCAGUGAUAUCACCCCUAUAUGUUUUCCCAUAACCAGGUGUUCUUCUUACCUUCUCAUAUUUCCCUCCAAUUGGCAGGGAGUUCUUUGACAUGUCCACCUCAGUUCCGUCUUUGUAGUAGAGCUUGAUGUGUUCCUCCUCAUGUCCAUGCUCUCUCUUCAUGGACUGCAUGCUGGAGAAGAUGUCCUUCCUACUGCUGCCUGGGCCGCUACCCGCUUUGGCCUCUUUCCUGGUGGGGAUCAUUAUAAAGGUUUUACUUCAGGCUUCAAGUCAAUUGAUAAUCUGUUGCCCUGAACGAUAACAGCUUGUUAUGAAAAUUAUUUAUAUUUCUAUUUGAGUUUGCAAGAAAGGCAUUUCACUGUACAUGCGCAUGUGGCAUUAAAACUUUAAAUUAAUUUCUAUUUCAUCUAGAUUUACAACUUUAGAUUGUAACUUACUUCGCAAAUACACUGCAUUGGGAAAGUAUUCAGACCAUUUUACUUUUUUCACAUUUUGUUACAUUACAGCCUUCUUCUAAAAUUGAUUAAAUAAAAAAUUUUCCUCAUCAAUCUACACACAAUACACCAUAAUGACAAAGCGAAAACAGGUUAUUUACUUAACUAUUCAGACCCUUUGCUAUGAGACUCAAAAUUGAGCUCAGGUGCAUCCUGUUUCCAUUGAUCAUCCUUGAGAUGUUUCUACAACUUGAUUGGAGUCCAGCUGUGGUAAAUUAAAUUGAUCGGACAUGAUUUGGAAAGGCACACACGUGUCUAUAUAAGUUCCCACAGUUGACAGUGCAUGUCAGAGCAUGCACGAAGGAAUGUUCGUAAAGCUCCGAGACAGUAUUGUGUCAGGCACAGAUCUGGGGAAGGGUACAAAAACAUUUCUGCAGCAUUGAAGGUCCCCAAGAACACAGUGGCCUCCAUCAUUCUUAAAUGGAAGUAGUUUGGAACCACCAAGACUAUGCCUAGAGUUGGCCGCCCGGUCAAAUUCAGCAAUCGGGGGAAAAGGACCUUGGUCAGGGAAGUGACCAAAAACCUGAUGGUCACUGACAGAGCUCCAGACUUCCUCUGUGGAAAUGGGAGAAUCUUCCAGAAGGACAACCAUCUCUGCAGCACUUGACCAAUCAGGCCUUUAUGGCAGAGUGUCCAGACUGAAGCCACUCCUCAGUAAAAGGCACAUGACAGCCCGUUGGAAUUUUCCAAAAGGCACCUAAAGACUCUCAGACCAUAAGAAACAAUAUUCUCUGGUCUGAUGAAACCAAGAUUGAACUAUUUGGCCUAAUUGCCAA
ensembl:lncRNA